rnacentral:rRNA from 1 species
UUAAGUAAGGAAGGGCGUACGGCGAAUGCCUUGCCACUCGAAACUGAAGAAGGACGCGCCAAACUGCGAAAAGCUCCGUGAAGCUGUAAGGAAGCGAAGAAGCGGAGGUGUCCGAAUGGGGGAACCCGGCAGCAGACAUGAGCUGUCAUCUGCAGGUGAAUACAUGGCCUGCAAGAGAGGUACCCGGCGAACUGAAACAUCUAAGUAGCCGGAGGAAAAGAAAACAACAGUGAUUCCCUGAGUAGCGGCGAGCGAAAGGGGAGAAGCCCAAACCGGUUGAAGGACCGGGGUUGAAGGACCAUGACAUGGCAAGAACGAGGAUAGGAGAACGGGAUCGAAAGCCCGGCCGAAGAAGGUGAAAGCCCUGUAACCGAAAUCCGAGCAAAGCCUAAUGGGAUCCUGAGUACGGCGAGACACGAGGAAUCUUGUCGGAAGCAGGCGGGACCAUCCGCCAAGGCUAAAUAUAAACGAGUGAGCGAUAGUGAACCAGUACCGUGAGGGAAAGGUGAAAAGAACCGCGGGAGCGGAGUGAAAGAGAACCUGAAACCGUAUGCCUACAAGAAGUCAGAGCCCGUUAAGGGGUGAUGGCGUGCCUUUUGUAGAAUGAACCGGCGAGUUGCGACAGACUGCGAGGUUAAGGAGGAAAGACCGGAGCCGAAGCGAAAGCGAGUCUUAAGAGGGCGAAAGUAGGAUGUUGCAGACCCGAAACCGGGUGAUCUAGCCAUGAGCAGGUUGAAGUUGAGGUGAAACUCAAUGGAGGACCGAACCGACUACCGUUGAAAAGUUAGCGGAUGACUUGUGGCUAGGGGAGAAAUUCCAAUCGAACCCGGAGAUAGCUGGUUCUCCCCGAAAUAGCUUUAGGGCUAGCGUCGGAAAGAACCUUAGUGAAGGUAGAGCACUGAAUGUGUGAUGGCCCCAUCCCGGGGUACUGAAUACAAUCAAACUGCGAAUGUCAUUAAGGAUGUCCGGCAGUCAGACUGUGAGUGAUAAGGUCCAUGGUCAAGAGGGAAACAGCCCAGACCGCCAGUUAAGGUCCCAAAAUACAGGCUAAGUGGAAAAGGAUGUGGGGAUGCCCAGACAACUAGGAGGUUGGCUCAGAAGCAGCCAUCCUUUAAAGAGUGCGUAACAGCUCACUAGUCGAGUGACCCUGCGCCGAAAAUGUACCGGGGCUAAGCCUGAUACCGAAACUGCGGAUUGUAGGAAACUAUAGUGGUAGGGGAGCGUUGUAUACGAGCAGAAGCCGUACCGUGAGGAGCGGUGGAUUGUAUAGAAGUGAGAAUGCCGGUGUGAGUAGCGAGAUGUAGGUGAGAAUCCUACACACCGAAAGCCCAAGGAUUCCAGGGGAAGGUUCGUCCGCCCUGGGUAAGUCGGGACCUAACGCGAGGCCGAAAGGCGUAGUGGAUGGAAAGCAGGCGAAAGAUUCCUGCACCCGUAUAUGGAGCGAAGGAGUGACGGAGACGGAUAGUGUGACCCUCUUAAUGGAUUGAGGGCGAAGCGAAGCGGCUGGUUACCAGGCAAAUCCGGUAACCAUAAGGCUAGAGCGUGACAGGUAAGCGAAAUCUUAGGAAAGUAGCGAAGCACAUGAUGACGGCUUCCAGGAAAAGCUUCUGGCAAUGCAUAUGCGGCCCGUACCAAAACCGACACAGGUGGGCAGGGAGAGAAUCCCGAGGUGAGCGAGAGAACUGUUGCCAAGGAACUCGGCAAAAUGACUCCGUAAGUUAGCGAGAAGGAGUGCUUAAGCAAUUAAGCCGCAGUGAAGAGGCCCAAGCGACUGUUUAACUAAAACACAGCUCUCUGCGAAGUCGCAAGACGAAGUAUAGGGGGUGACACCUGCCCGGUGCUGGAAGGUUAAGAGGAUCUGUUAAGAGCGAUCUGAAGCAGUGAUCCGAAGCCCCAGUGAACGGCGGCCGUAACUAUAACGGUCCUAAGGUAGCGAAAUUCCUUGUCAGGUAAGUUCUGACCCGCA